rnacentral:rRNA from 1 species
CAAGGAAUUUUCCGCAAUGGGCGCAAGCCUGACGGAGCGACGCCGCGUGGAGGAAGACACUUUUCGGAGCGUAAACUCCUUUUCUGGGGGAUGAAGACAGUGACAGUACCCCAGGAAGAAGGACCGGCUAACUACGUGCCAGCAGCCGCGGUAAGACGUAGGGUCCGAGCGUUGUCCGGAGUUACUGGGCGUAAAGGGCGCGUAGGCGGCUUUGUGCGUCACACGUGAAAGCCCCUGGCUUAACCAGGGAGGGUCGUGUGAAACGGCGAAGCUGGAGGCAGAGAGAGGCUGGUGGAAUUCCCGGAGUAGUGGUGAAAUGCGUAGAUAUCGGGAGGAACACCGGUGGCGAAGGCGGCCAGCUGGCUCUGACCUGACGCUGAGGCGCGAAGGCGUGGGGAGCGAACGGGAUUAGAUACCCCUGUAGUCC